rnacentral:rRNA from 1 species
AUGGAGUCGGCUCCCAGGCGACGACGGGUAGCCGGCCUGAGAGGGUGUCCGGCCACACUGGGACUGAGACACGGCCCAGACUCCUACGGGAGGCAGCAGUGGGGAAUAUUGCACAAUGGGCGCAAGCCUGAUGCAGCGACGCCGCGUGCGGGAUGACGGCCUUCGGGUUGUAAACCGCUUUUGACAGGGACGAAGCGCAAGUGACUGUACCUGUAGAAUAAGGACCGGCCAACUACGUGCCAGCAGCCGCGGCCGA